GGUCAGCUGACACAUCCCUGCCAAUCUCCGGCAGACCCUCCCUCCCAGACCCUCCUACUUCCUGGACAGCAUCCAUGUUGAAGGCAGCUUCAACAUGGAUGCUGUCCAGGAGGUGGGAGGGUCUGGGAGGGAGGGUCUGCCAGAGAUUGGCAGGGAUGUUUCAGCUG